rnacentral:lncRNA from 1 species
GUGCAUUAGGUAUUUGUCCUAAUGCUCUCCCUCCCCUUGCCCCCCCACCCACCGAGAGGCCCUGGUGUGUGUUGUUCCCCUCCUUGUGUCCAUGUGUUCUCAUUGUUCAACUCCCACUUAUGAGCGAGAACAUGUGGUGUUUGGUUUUCUGUUCCUGUGUUAGUUUGCUGAGAAUGAUGACUUCCAGCUUCAUCCAUGUCCCUGCAAAGGACAUGAACUCAUUCCUUUUUAUGGCUGCAGACUGAGCCUUUUCUUAACCCCAGGAGGUAAAAUGUGACGGUCCUAAACCAUUUAGGACCAUUUCAUUUGCUUUGUUGUUGACUGGCUUAGGAACAGGCUUGGGAUGCAAUUCUGCCUCUAAGACUUGUGGAUAUGUCUGCUGGAGAGUGAGCCUUGGAGGAAGAGUUUUUCUAGGAAAGGAAUCAUCUCUCAAAAAGAAGCAUAGAGAUCCGAAGAGCAGUGAGCCUUUCUUUUGGGUUUUUUAAUUUAUUUUCAUUUAGAUGUGGUUGGGAAUGCACCGCCUAGAGCUAUUGCAGACAGUUUGCAAUCAUGAGGGAACCAAGAACUUCAGACCAAAGCUGAUAUGAAGACUUCUAUGGAACUGUUGAAUUAACCAAUGCUGGACCCACCCUACCCCCUGGAUUCUUGCUUGAUGAGGCAGCAAAUAUCUAUUGUUCAACCCAGUGGAACUUGAAAAUGACACAGAGAGAAAUGCAAGUGGCAAUAGGAUCCAGAAACCGAGAGACUCAUGGAAAGGAGGCAGCCGGUGGAAGCAGGAGACAGCAGAAGCCAAGCCAAACAGCAAAAGAAGGAAAUUGAAAGGAGCCAGAAGGGGUCAUCUGAGAGAUGUCAAGAGUGGCAGCAGAAACAGACAGGCACCUCCUGUGCCAAUGCCUGCUUUUGAGAGAUCAAGAUCAUGGUAUCUGUAGACUGAGAACAAAGUGUGAGACUCAGAACUAAGUCCAUUCAAGCUCUGCAUUUCUUUGUUAUGUCCCUUUCAUCAGUAAUUUCCAUUAGUUCCUUACAUCUCUUUCAUCAUGAAUUUCCACCAGAGAAUCUAAUUGCAUCAGACUCGCUGAAAAAGUUUAACUAAUAGAUCCAAUAUUUACCAGCCUGUGAUCUUGGGGAGAGAUUUUCCCAGCUGUGGUCAAGGAGAGAUGUGAUGAGGGAAGAAUGGUCAGAGAGAUGCUGCACUACUGGCUUUCAAGAUAGAGGAAGGGGCCGUGAACCAAGGAAUGUGGAUGGCCUCUAGAAGCUGGAAAAAGGCAAGGAAGCAGAUUCUUCCCAACCUAAAGAGGAGGAACACAGCCUGCCAAACACCCCAGCUUUAGCCCUGUUAAACCUGUGUUAAACUUUUAACCUAUAGAACUGUAAUAUAACAGAUUUGUGUUGUUUUAAGCUGUUAAGUUUGCAGUAACUUGUUACAGCAGCAAUAGAAAACUAAUACAUUCUGAUGGCUAACACUACAUAUGCAUGGGAAAAUGUCUAAAAGAAUGUAUUCUCCAAUGUAACAUUGGUUUUGUCAUCUUUUCAAAUUAUUUCUUUUUUCUGGUUUCAAUAACGACUGUGUGUUAUUUGUGUAAUAAAGAAAUGAUGGAAAUGUUAAAGAAUAAGUAAUAUGUACUAAAUAAAGUUAGAUGACCUCUAAGGCUCCACCUAACUGUGGCAUUAUCUGAGCAAUCCAGCUGGUGGCUUAAUUGCCAAUCCAUAUCCUGUUUCUUCUUGGAUGCCAUAGACAGGUCUUAACUCCUCCACAAAGGAACCAGAAAGAGCA